UACGUAGGGGGCUAGCGUUGUCCGGAUUUAUUGGGCGUAAAGAGCUCGUAGGCGGCUUGUCGCGUCGUUCGUGAAAACCUGGGGCUCAACUCCAGGCUUGCGGGCGAUACGGGCAGGCUAGAGUACGGUAGGGGCAGAGGGAAUUCCCGGUGUAGCGGUGAAAUGCGUAGAGAUCGGGAAGAACACCAACGGCGAAAGCACUCUGCUGGGCCGAAACUGACACUGAGAGACGAAAGCUAGGGGAGCAAAUGGG
rnacentral:rRNA from 1 species